AGGAGUAAAAGAACUGCCGUAUACAAGAAAUGAAUGUCAUAAUUGCUGUAAUGCCCUACUAGAGCAUAAACAACAAAAGUGCCAUUUGUCAUGCGUCAAAAAGUUUUCAAAAUCCAUUAUGUAUGAUCUUAGACGUGAAUGUCUUAUAGGCUGUAAUGCUAUUGUGAUAGAAUGCAGAGCAAGUUGCAAUAACGCAUGUUUUCUUGUGUUUAGUAGAACUAGAAAACAAAAACGUUCAACAGCACCUCUAGAUUUAGCAUUGAAACUUUGAAGCUCUUAAAAUUGCUUAAGAAUACAAUCAUGUAUAAGA